rnacentral:piRNA from 1 species
UCAAUUAGUAAACUGGUAGAC